GAUGAACGCUGGCGGCGUGCUUAACACAUGCAAGUCGAACGGAAAGGCUCCUGCUUGCAGGGGCACUCGAGUGGCGAACGGGUGAGUAACACGUGGGUGAUCUGCCCUGCACUUCGGGAUAAGCCUGGGAAACUGGGUCUAAUACCGGAUAGGACCAUCGUUUAGUGUCGGUGGUGGAAAGUUUUUUCGGUGUGGGAUGAGCUCGCGGCCUAUCAGCUUGUUGGUGGGGUAAUGGCCUACCAAGGCGUUGACGGGUAGCCGGCCUGAGAGGGUGUACGGCGACAUUGGGACUGAGAUACGGCCCAGACUCCUACGGGAGGCAGCAGUGGGGAGUAUUGCACAAUGGGCGCAAGCCUGAUGCAGCGACGCCGCGUGGGGGAUGACGGCCUUCGGGUUGUAAACUCCUUUCGCCAGGGACGAAGCGAAAGUGACGGUACCUGGAUAAGAAGCACCGGCUAACUACGUG
rnacentral:rRNA from 1 species